rnacentral:rRNA from 1 species
CAUACGUCCGAAAGGGGAAAGCAGGGGAUCGUAAGACCUUGCGCUAUUGGAUGAGCCAAAGUCGGAUUAGCUAGUUGGUGAGGUAAUGGCUCACCAAGGCGACAAUCCGUAGCUGGUCUGAGAGGACGACCAGCCACACCGGAACUGAGACACGGUCCGGACUCCUACGGGAGGCAGCAGUGGGGAAUAUUGGACAAUGGGGGAAACCCUGAUCCAGCGACGCCGCGUGUGUGAAGAAGGCCUGCGGGUUGUAAAGCACUUUUAGUGGGGACAAAAAGCCAAAGGCUAAUACCUUUUGGUCUUGAUUUAACUCACAGAAAAAGCACCGGCUAACUCUGUGCCAGCAGCCGCGGUAAUACAGAGGGUGCGAGCGUUAAUCGGAAUUACUGGGCGUAAAGCGCGCGUAGACGGUUUUGUAAGUCAGAUGUGAAAUCCCCGGGCUCAACCUGGGAACUGCAUUUGAUACUGCAUGGCUAGAGUACGGUAGAGGGAAGCGGAAUUUCCGGUGUAGCGGUGAAAUGCGUAGAUAUCGGAAGGAACACCAGUGGCGAAAGCGGCUUCCUGGACCAGUACUGACGUUCAUGUGCGAAAGCGUGGGGAGCAAACAGGAUUAGAUACCCUGGUAGUCCACGCCAUAAACGAUGACAACUAGAUGUUGGGAGGGUCUGCCUCUCGGUGUCGCAGCUAACGCGUUAAGU